AUUGAACGCUGGCGGCAGGCUUAACACAUGCAAGUCGAGCGGAGAUGAGGUGCUUGCACCUUAUCUUAGCGGCGGACGGGUGAGUAAUGCUUAGGAAUCUGCCUAUUAGUGGGGGACAACAUUCCGAAAGGAAUGCUAAUACCGCAUACGUCCUACGGGAGAAAGCAGGGGAUCUUCGGACCUUGCGCUAAUAGAUGCGCCUAAGUCGGAUUAGCUAGUUGGUGGGUAAAGGCCUACCAAGGCGACGAUCUGUAGCGGGUCUGAGAGGAUGAUCCGCCACACUGGGACUGAGACACGGCCCAGACUCCUACGGGAGGCAGCAGUGGGGAAUAUUGGACAAUGGGGGGAACCCUGAUCCAGCCAUGCCGCGUGUGUGAAGAAGGCCUUAUGGUUGUAAAGCACUUUAAGCGAGGAGGAGGCUACUGAGACUAAUACUCUUGGAUAGUGGACGUUACCCGCAGAAUAAGCACCGGCUAACUCUGUGCCAGCCGCCGCGGUAAGAC
rnacentral:rRNA from 1 species